AAGACCAAGGGUUCCUGUCCAACGUUAAUCGGGGCAGGGUGAGUCGACCCCUAAGGCGAGGCCGAAAGGCGUAGUCGAUGGGAAACAGGUUAAUAUUCCUGUACUUGGUGUUACUGCGAAGGGGGGGACGGAGAAGGCUAUGUUGGCCGGGCGACGGUUGUCCCGGUUUAAGCGUGUAGGCUGGUUUUCCAGGCAAAUCCGGAAAAUCAAGGCUGAGGCGUGAUGACGAGGCACUACGGUGCUGAAGC
rnacentral:rRNA from 1 species